rnacentral:lncRNA from 1 species
AGGACCCUCCUGUCACCCACCUCCUGCACUGAGUCCAGAGAGCAGCCCAGGACAGAGCUGGACUUCCUGAUGACUCUGUCCAGCUUCUUCCUCUCCCUCUCAGUGAUGCUGCUGUUCCAGCAGACCACACCAUACAUGAUGACAUGAUACAUGAUGCUGAAGAUGAUCCUGCUGCUCCUCAUCCUCACCUCCUCAGCAGCAGCACUUGAAGUGAAGGAGACACAGAGCUCCUAUCAGGCAGAGGAGAACCACAACAUCACACUGGAGUGGACGUUCCCCACAGACACUGAGACUAAGACUGAGGACAUUUCUGUCCUCUGUUCUCAUUUAACCAGACAGAAAGGAUCAGUCCUGUAUCAGGUCCAUGCUGGUGUUGAGCUCUCAGAGUCUGUGGAUGAAGGUUUUUCAGGAAGAGUCCAGAGUGACACAGACGCCCUCAGAGAAGGACGAAUCAGACUUCAUCUGUCCAGACUCAGGACUGAAGACUCUGGUCUGUAUGUGUGUGAUGUGAGGACAGCUUCUGGUUCUGGUUCUUCCAGCUGUGAGCUCACAGUCUCUGCAGCUGCUGCUCAGACACACACUGACAGACCAGCUCUGAGUCCAGCUCUGAGUCCACCAGCAGACACAGGAGGACGGACAAGGCAGCGUUAUGGACUGAUAGCAGCACUGUUUCCAGUUAUUUUAGUUACAUGGUGUUGUGUUCACAUUAGAAAGACAAAAACUGAUGCGCAGCAGUCCAGUACUACGUUGAAUGAAACUGAAUCAUCUCCCACCUCCUACAUAUACCCAACUGUGAGUCCAAAGCCAGAGACAGGAGGACAGACAAGAGUUCAUAAUGGACUGAUGGCAGCAGUAUGAGCUCUACCAGUUGUCAUUGUUACAUGUUGUUUUGUAUUGCAACAAAGAGCAUUUUAGCACAUCCCUUCAACACCCCCCUCUCCAAAUAAUCAGACAUGUGAUGUAUUAAUGUUUACAGAUUUUACACAGACAUCAUCUACAACAUUGCAGAAAACAUCAAAACAUUCCUGCAAUGACACAAAGGUUCACUAUAGUGUAAUACAUCCUGAGGCUUCCAUCAGGAGACACUGAACAUGUGAAGAAUAGCUGCUACACACAGCAUGAUCAGUCUGAGCAGCAUCAAUCUAAAACACCAGCUGAUCUUCAAUAUGUAUUUAUACAUCAGCUGUGGCAAAGGACUGCUCUGUUCCAGCUUUUUUCAUUAUUUUACUACUGAAGCAGCCACUCAGAAUUCACUACUUUAAGAUAAGAUAAGAUAAAACUUUAUUAAUCCUGAAGGAAAUUCUUGUGCCAGAGGUAUCAAGUUACAUAAAAUGCAGUUAAGUACAGAGUAUAAGAGUACAAGUGUCACUGUAAUCCAAUCAGAGUGCAGCAAGCCGUAUGAGCAC